GGAUUAGAUACCCGGGUAGUCCCAGCUGUAAACUAUGCAAACUCAGUGAUGCAUUGGCUUGUGGUCAAUGCAGUGCUGCAGGGAAGCCGUUAAGUUUGCCGCCUGGGAAGUACGUACGCAAGUAUGAAACUUAAAGGAAUUGGCGGGGGAGCACCACAAGGGGUGAAGCCUGCGGUUUAAUUGGACUCAAC
rnacentral:rRNA from 1 species